rnacentral:rRNA from 1 species
UGGGGAAUUUUGCACAAUGGGGGAAACCCUGAUGCAGCAACGCCGCGUGGAGGAUGAAGUCCCUUGGGACGCAAACUCCUUUCGACCGGGACGAUAAUGACGGUACCGGUGGAAGAAGCCCCGGCUAACUCCGUGCCAGCAGCCGCGGUAAUACGGGGGGGGCAAGCGUUGUUCGGAAUUAUUGGGCGUAAAGGGUGCGUAGGCGGUUUGGUAAGUCUCUUGUGAAAUCUAUGGGCUCAACUCAUAGUCUGCAAGGGAAACUGCCGGGCUUGAGUGUGGGAGAGGUGAGUGGAAUUUCCGGUGUAGCGGUGAAAUGCGUAGAUAUCGGAAGGAACACCUGUGGCGAAAGCGGCUCACUGGACCACAACUGACGCUGAUGCACGAAAGCUAGGGGAGCAAACAGGAUUAGAUACCCUGGUAGUCCUAGCCCUAAACGAUGACCGCUUGGUGUGACGGGUACCCAAUCCCGCCGUGCCGUAGCUAACGCGUUAAGCAGUCCGCCUGGGGAGUACGGUCGCAAGGCUG